rnacentral:rRNA from 1 species
GAUGAACGCUAGCUACAGGCUUAACACAUGCAAGUCGAGGGGCAGCGGUAUCGAAAGCUUGCUUUCGGUAGCCGGCGACCGGCGCACGGGUGAGUAACGCGUAUCGAACCUGCCUCAUACUCGGGAAUAGCCUUGCGAAAGUAAGAUUAAUGCCCGGUGGUUUCAGAGUACCGCAUGAGGCUUUGAACAAAGAUUUAUCGGUAUGAGAUGGCGAUGCGUCCCAUUAGCUUGUUGGCGGGGUAACGGACCACCAAGGCAUCGAUGGGUAGGGGUUCUGAGAGGAAGGUCCCCCACAUUGGAACUGAGACACGGUCCAAACUCCUACGGGAGGCAGCAGUGAGGAAUAUUGGUCAAUGGGCGGAAGCCUGAACCAGCCAAGUAGCGUGCAGGAAGACGGCCCUCCGGGUUGUAAACUGCUUUUAGUUGGGAAUAAAACGGGGCUCGUGAGCCCCCUUGCAUGUACCAUCAGAAAAAGGACCGGCUAAUUCCGUGCCAGCCGCCGCCGUAA